rnacentral:lncRNA from 1 species
AGCUAAGAUGACAGCUGUUGGCCUGUACCUCGGCCCUCAAGUUUCCCAUGCAAUGUGCUUCCUACUAUUCAUUGUUGCCCCGUCUCUAGAAAUGCUGUAAAAAUCUACACAGAAAACCUGACCGUCUAUGUGGUUCUUGCGGAGGAAUGAAAAGAAACAUGGCAAAUGAGGAACAGAAAAUAUGACACAAAUUGUGAAAAUGGUAUACAGCAGCUCAGCUUUGGGAAACGUGAGUCCUGUCUGCUUAUGGAUGUAUCGAUUCAUGGGUAUUACACUUGUCUCCCAAGUUGCUUGCUGAUGCUUUCAAGGUCAGGUAAUAACAUUCUCCAAGGAACUAAGCGGAGUGGCUGUCCUCAUUUCUCCCCUGACCUGCAGGCUGGCUGGCUGGUUGCCUUGCUUCUGGGAGAUGGCCAGGCAGCCUGUUGCUCCCUGUGCCCCUCACCGACCAGGCAGCUCACUCCCUUUGUGGCAGCCUCAUGUCAAAACCCAUCAGAAUAAGAGACUAUUAAUGAGGAUGGGAAGAGACAGAGAAAAGAGGGAAACACCACAGUAAGAUAAAAACAGAUCAAUAGUGAAGCUAAACAGAGCAAGAGGUUCUGAAAGCAAUUCAGGAGCUGUUAGCUUCUCAACAAACACAGGGUUUCUGAUAAUCUCAGAUGGACACAAAAAGGAGAGAGAUGGACAAAAAGCCAGAGAAGCACAUCAAUGGAAAGCAAUAAGGAGG